rnacentral:rRNA from 1 species
UACGUAGGGACCAAGCGUUGUUCGGAUUUACUGGGCGUAAAGGGCGCGUAGGCGGCUUGCCAAGUCACUUGUGAAGUCUCUGGGCUUAACCCAGAACGGCCAAGUGAAACUGGCAUGCUAGAGUGCAGAAGGGGCAAUCGGAAUUCUUGGUGUAGCGGUGAAAUGCGUAGAUAUCAAGAGGAACACCUGAGGUGAAGACGGGUUGCUGGGCUGACACUGACGCUGAGGCGCGAAAGCCAGGGGAGCAAACGGG